rnacentral:rRNA from 1 species
CGUCUAUAUACGUAUAGCAUAUCAAUAAGCGGAGGAAAAGAAACUAACAAGGAUUCCCUUAGUAACGGCGAGUGAAGCGGGAAGAGCUCAAAUUUGAAAUCUUCAAGGUUCUACCUUGACGAAUUGUAGUUUAAAGAAGUGUUUUCUGUUAGAGAGUUAGGCUAAAAGUUCCUUGGAAUAGGGACAUCAUAGAGGGUGAGAAUCCCGUAUUUGACAUUAUUCUUCUAGCUGUGUGAUACACUUUCAAAGAGUCGGAUUGUUUGGGAAUGCAGUCCAAAAUGGGUGGUAAAUUUCAUCUAAAGCUAAAUAUUGGCGAGAGACCGAUAGCGAACAAGUACCGUGAGGGAAAGAUGAAAAGAACUUUGAAAAGAGAGUUAAACAGUACGUGAAAUUGUCAAAAGGGAAGCGUUUGACACCAGUGUUGUUUCUUCCGAAAAUCAAUUAAGAAGUGGCUUGAUUUUGUGUUGUAUUGACCUUAUCAGCUUUCUUCACUCUUUUUCGAGUCUUUCUUAAUGCACUUUUCGGUUAACAAGUCAGCAUCAAUUUCUUUUGUUGUAAAAGGGUAUUUGGAAGGUGGCUUUCUUUUCGGAGAAAGUGUUUAUAGCCUUAUACCUCUACAAUCGGAGAGAUUGAGGUCUGCAGCGUAGAUCCUUCGGGGCUAGAUACACUUGUGCUAAGUUAUAGCUUUUCAUAGACAACUUGUUGACUAUGUUUAGUCAUGUAGCUUACCCGCUUGUGCUAUUUUACCUACGCUUAGGAUGUUGAGUCAUCACACAUCUCU